UACGUAGGGUGCAAGCGUUGUCCGGAAUUAUUGGGCGUAAAGAGCUCGUAGGCGGUUUGUCGCGUCUGCUGUGAAAACUCGGGGCUUAACUCCGGGCGUGCAGUGGGUACGGGCAGACUAGAGUGCGGUAGGGGAGACUGGAAUUCCUGGUGUAGCGGUGAAAUGCGCAGAUAUCAGGAGGAACACCGGUGGCGAAGGCGGGUCUCUGGGCCGUAACUGACGCUGAGGAGCGAAAGCGUGGGGAGCGAACAGG
rnacentral:rRNA from 1 species